UGUACGGAUUCUCUGUGCAGAAACUGUAGAGUCAAGAGGGGUCAAGGAAGUUUUGGGUUUAGUUUUUUCAAGGAGAGAUAUUACCUGUUUCUCUCAGUGCAUGCAUUAGGAAGAUUUUAAGAUCUUCUGCAAUGACCCACCAGAUUUGUGAUACUUAACACCAUCACACCAUCACCUGUGUGUGUGUGGGGGGGGGGGUGUGUGUCAGUGUUUCCCACUAGGAGGGUUUCAUAGAGUUGUGUUUUGUAGAGAAUGUGUGUGUGUGCGGAGGUGGGUAGGAAUUGGGUUAACGGUUGCUUUUGUAGUUGUUAUGAAAUUUGGCUUCAUUUCUUCUUGCUCAGGGUCUGCAUUCACAUCCUGAUAACUAAAAAUUUUAAGGAAACAAAUGUUAAGCUAGUUUACCUCCGCUGGAAGUGUUGAGAGAACUAGUGUUUGGGGGUAAUUUCUUUCCCCCAACUUAAAGGAAGUUGCCAAAAGUAUCGGAAGAAGUUGAGGCAGAGACACUCCCAAGGCCCUGAGACGAGACGUUGCCAGAAUACCUGGGUCUCAGGUCUGAUCAAUAACUAUGUGGAACACUGAACCGCUGUGUCUUUCGGUUCCAGCAGGUAUAAAGUGAGGAUAAUAUUUGCUCUACCUACUCCACGAGGUCUUUAUGAGGAUCAAAUAGCAUAGCGGGUGAAAGUGCUUCGCCAACUAUAAAGCAUUCUGUAAAUGUUAAGUAAUAGUGUUAAAAACAAGGUGGGCUUCAGGAUUUAGUGACAGUAUUUACAACAACUGGAGAAAAAUGGGAAUGUAACAAAAUCGGGUUGAGAAUAAUUACAGUACAUAGUAAUACCAGUAGAAUCUUCAAGAAUUUGCCUUUUGUGUACGUCAGGCUUUGUUAGUAACACCCCAAGUCCGCCGUAUUUGGGCCAUCAUAGAGUACCGUGGUCGACAGACGUGGCCGAGAGCCAGAGAAUCAGUCAGCUUGUCCCUGAGGAACCUCGGAAUCAUGAACAUCUGACUGUUUUGGCACAUAAACGUUGGUUUGCUGAAACUAUGUGGAAGAGCCACUCUCUUCAUGGAAAAUAUUCAAACUAUGAUGAUAAAUUUGAUGUCAGGCUUGAGAGCAUUUCUAUAUUUGAUACUCGAAGUGGAAUCAUGGUCAUACUUUAUUUUCAUAAGGAUUAUGUGAUGGGAAAUUGAGAAGUUUAAAAUGGGUAGCCAAGGUCACUCCCGUUGAUGAUGUGAAGACGAUGAGCGAUUCUCAACAAAACAAGUAUAAACCUGGACAAAGUUGACAAAAACAAUCAUUUCUGGUCACUGGAAAAGUGGGUGAUAAACAUGUUGGUGUUCUGGGUGAGAAGAGUGGGAGUUUGUGGCCUCCUUGUGUGGGGCCUCGUCUGUUCCCCCACCCCCACCUUAGUUGGUGAGAAUGGCAGUUUUGUCAUCCUCCAGUUUUUACCGGAAGUGAGGGACUUGGUAGUGGAGGCUGGGGUUGCGGGUGAAAACCCCACAGCUAAAAUUGGCAUACUCAGUUCAGGAAGGAUGGGGGGGACCUACAGCUUGGCCAUCUCAGGUUUUCAGUCCUGGUUUGGGGCCACCAGGCAGAAACUGAACAGGGUGAGCCUGGCGACGGGAGAGCCAUAGAAGGUCUGCGAUCAGCUCUCCGCACUUCCUUGGUGACUGCUAAACUCUGUUGUGGCCAGGGGACGGGUACUCAAGACAGUCACACAAAAAGCGAAAGCCCAGAGAGGCCCCUCAAAAGCUUGAGUGCAACUUGGAAUGCCCCUUGGCCCACAGACAACUCCAUCAGCCGAGUGGGGAACCCUCACAGGUGCAGAGUGUUUGGGCACCACCUCUGCCCAGACCUCCGGCUGACGCUAACCUGGGCAGACACAGAGGUGAUGUCUAGGGAGCCAGGCCAGAAACUAGAAAUGAGAAUUUUGGAAACUCAGCAAAAUCAUCAGGGGCUACACUUCAUUGAAAGAGACAGGUUCUGUAGUUUAAGUUUAGACAGAUUACUAAAAGAAGCAUCAACCCUUAGAGCCCUGAGCUUUAUCAGCUGAUGAGGAGAUGAAUAAAAUGUAGUAUAUCACAUAAUUAAUACUAUUUGGCAAUAAAAAAGAAUGAAGUACUGAAAGAUGCUACAAUGUGGAUAAACUUUAAAAACAUUAUGCUAAGUAAAAGAAGACAGUCCCAAAAAGCUGAUUAUAUGAUUCCAAUUAUAUGAAAUGUCAAGAAAGAUAUCCAUUCAUAACAGUAUCAAAAAGACCAAAAUACUUAGGAAUAAAUUUAACAAGAGAAGUGUAAGUCCUGUAUCCUGAACAGUACAUUUUUCUGAAGAAAAUGAGUGAGAAUAUACACUGAGUUUAUAGGUUGGAAGACUCAAUUUUGUUAAUGCACCAGCUUUCCCCAAAUUGAUCUAUAGAUUCAUCAAAGCCAUUGUCAAAAUCUCAGAAAAGAUUUUUGGAAAAGAAUAUUUCUAGAAAUUGGAAAACAGAUUCUAAAAUUUAUGUGGAAAUGCAGAGAAUGUAGAACAGUCAACAUAACUUUUAAAAAGAAGGAAGGGUACAGUUGGAGGAUUUAAACUACCCGAUCUCAAAACCUACUGUAAAGCUGCAGUAAUAAAAACAGUGUGGUAUUUGCAGACAGACGUCUCAGUCAGUGGAGCAGAAUAUCCAGAAAGAGAACACAGAAGUGGUCAGUUGCUUUUCAACCGAUGUGUUAAUGUGGUUCGAUAGAGAUAGCGCUGCCUUGUCAACAAACAGCACUGCCACAGUGGAAAGCCACGUGAAGUGAAAUGUACCUUGGCUUUUUACCUUACCACACACACACGCGGAUGCACUAAAAAUGGGUCGUAGACCAAAAUGUGAAGACAGAAGCAUGUCAGGAAGUCUUUGUGUCUUUGGGCUAGACAAAGAUGUAGUAAUAGGAUGUAAAAAGCGUGAAGUGUCAGAGAAAAAAUGAUAAAUUGGACUUAAUCAGAAUUAAAGUUUUGGUUUUCAAAAGACACCACCAUUAAGAAAGUGAAAAGUCAAGCCACAUGCUAGGAAAACAUAUUUACAAAAUACGUUUGAUAGAGGAUUUUUAUCUAGGAAAAAAUCCGUCGUAAGACAGCAACCUGAUGUAAAUGAUGUGCACAAGAUUUGGAUAGACAUUUCACCCAAGAAGAUGUAUGAAUGGCAAAGAAGCACAUGGAAAGAGUUUCAGCAUAUGUAAUUAGUCAUUAGAGAAAUGCAGAUUAAAGCUGUAGAUAAGAUAAUUGCGUCACAGUCACUCUAAUCAAUAAAAUUAAAAAGAUUACGAUCCCUGUGUUUGUUGGCAGGAAUGUGGAAACACCCGAAACCUCACACGUUGCUGGCGGGAACAUAACGUGAUGCAGUUGUGUUGGAAGACAGGCAGUUUCUUUACAAGCUUAACACACAGUUAAGCAGUUCCAAUCCUAGGUGUGCUCUAAGGCGGGGGUGUCGAACCCAUGUUCACCGGGGGCCACGUCAGCCUCAUGCUUGCCUUCAAAGGGCCGAAUGUAAUGUUAGGACUGUAUGAAUGUCAGUACUCCUUUACAGUUAAGCGGGAGCUUGGUGCGGCUGCUGGGUAGAAACAAGGUGGAGGGCUGGAUUUGGCCCGUGGGCCUUGUGUUUGCCCCCUGUGCUCUAAGGACAAAUAACAGAGUGUGUUCAGAUAAAGACUCGUAUGCAGUGUUCAUAGCAGCUUUAUUUGCAAUUGCUCAGUGAUGAAAAGGAGUGGAUUAUAUAUAUAUAUACACACACACGCACAACAAUGUGGAUGAAUCUCAAAAUAAUUAAUGCUGUAUGAAAAAUUCAGACACCCCCUCCUCCCGACGAUGCUCCAUUUAGGUGAAAUUCUAGAAAAUGCAAACUAAUCUAUAGUGACAGAGAGCAGAUUAGUGGUUGCCUGAGGAUGACUCGGGAGAGAAGGAAGAAGAGGAUUCCAAAGGGAAAGGCACAGUGAAACACUGGGGGUGAUGUAUAUGUUCCUUUUCUUGUUUAUGCAUGAUAGUUUCAUGGUGUAUACAUAUGUCAAAUUGUACAUUUUAAAUAUGUGCAAUUUAGUAUGAAACAAUUACAAUUUAAUAAGGUUAUUCUUAAAAACAUGCCCAUUCAAAAACAAACAAACA